rnacentral:rRNA from 1 species
GGGUUGUGAGGUUAAGCGACCAAGCGUACACGGUGGAUGCCCUGGCAGUCAGAGGCGAUGAAGGACGUGCUAAUCUGCGAUAAGCGCCGGUAAGGUGAUAUGAACCGUUAUAACCGGCGAUUUCCGAAUGGGGAAACCCAGUGUGACUCGUCACACUAUCAUUAUGUGAAUACAUAGCGUAAUGAAGCGAACCGGGGGAACUGAAACAUCUAAGUACCCCGAGGAAAAGAAAUCAACCGAGAUUCCCCCAGUAGCGGCGAGCGAACGGGGAGGAGCCCAGAGCCUGAAUCAGCAUGUGUGUUAGUGGAAGCGUCUGGAAAGGCGCGCGAUA